rnacentral:rRNA from 1 species
CGUGCUUAACACAUGCAAGUCGAACGAACCUUCGGGUUAGUGGCGGACGGGUGAGUAACGCGUGAGAAUCUGCCCUCAGGAGGGGGAUAACGGCUGGAAACGGCCGCUAAUACCCCAUAUGCCGAGAGGUGAAAUGAAUUUCGCCUGAGGAUGAGCUCGCGUCUGAUUAGCUAGUUGGUGGGGUAAGGGCCUACCAAGGCGACGAUCAGUAGCUGGUCUGAGAGGAUGAUCAGCCACACUGGGACUGAGACACGGCCCAGACUCCUACGGGAGGCAGCAGUGGGGAAUUUUCCGCAAUGGGCGAAAGCCUGACGGAGCAACGCCGCGUGAGGGAUGAAGGCCUCUGGGCUGUAAACCUCUUUUCUCAAGGAAGAAGAUCUGACGGUACUUGAGGAAUAAGCCACGGCUAAUUCCGUGCCAGCAGCC